UUACUUUCAUUUUUCUAUAAAAUAAAAUUGUUUCCGAUUCACCAAACCAAUUCUUAUUUCUUUCUGAAGGAAUAAAUAAAAAGAAUAAAAAUACUGGAAUUCUUCAUUUUUGCUUAUCUCAAUGAGAUAAGCAAAAAUGAAAAAUGGGUUUAAUUGGUUAAAUUCAAAAAGUUAAUCAAAUAACUUCGUUACCUAGUUAUUACCUAACUAAGGAUAUUUAUUAAAAUACAAAAAAAGUUGCAUUUUUUUACUUUCUAUUAAUUUUGAUAUUUCUUUAAAACAAAGAUGAAGCAGCUCUCUUGUUUCGUAACUGAUUAAUUGAAUUCCAAUAAAAAGAAAACCUAUGUUUAUAAGAAAUUAUCAAAUAGUCGUUACUUCAUACUUCAUAUAGAACUGAAAUCCUAAUGACUAUAAUUACCUAAGUUUUAGAAUGCCUUGUUUAAGAGACUCAGUAUUUUUUGUUUUGAUUGGAAUUCCAUUAUGGAAUACCAUUCUGAACUUAAUUAACUAUUUGAAUUUUCCCUUCUUUUUAUCUUUUUAUCCACCCGUCUUAUAUAGGGGAUAGGCUUCCGUACCAUAUAUCUAUAUAUGGAGUAUACUUGAUAUAUAAAUAUCUAUAAAUAGAUUUAAACGGGAAACCUUUCUAUAUAUUCUAUAUUAUUAAAACAAAGUAUAAAAUAUAUACGGAAAAAAUUGACUGAAAUUCUUGUCUUAUCCGGAUUAGACAAGAAUUUCAGUCAAAAAUAAUUCAGAAUUUCAGUAUCUUUCAAUAUCUAAGUAUAAAUACCAAGAAAAAGAAGAAAGAAGGAUUUAUUUGCGGCAAUAGAUGUCUUUCACAUACAACUAAAAAAAGUAAUUUCCUUUUUGAAUGGCAGUUCCAAAAAAACGUACUUCAAUGUCAAAAAAGCGUAUUCGUAAAAAUAUUUGGAAGAAAAAGACUUAUUUUUCCAUAGUACACGCUUAUUCUUUAGCAAAAUCAAAAUCAUUUUCCAGCGGCAAUGAGCAUCCAAAACCAAAGGGUUUUUCUGGGAAACAAACAAAUAAUAAGGGUUUGGAAUAAUCUGAAUUGACCUAUCAAAAAAUAAUUCCAAUUAUUUAAUAUGAAUAAUUUGGAUUAAUUAAUUAAUUAAUGUACUUUGAUAUGUGUCGAAUUACUCAACACAAUAUUAUUAGAACAAACCCCUCUUAUAUCUGCUAUAUGGGAUAAAAGUUUUGGUAUACCGUGUGCUAAGUAUUCUUGAUCAAUGAACUUUUCAUAAUAGAAUUCUCAUAUUUUAUUAUGAGAAUUCUAUUAUGAAAAGUGGAGUAUUCUUGCAAUAGGACUUACCACUUCUAUCUAUUUUCUCCAAAAUCAUUGGUUUAAGGUUAGUAAAUCCUAUUAAUAAGAGCAUAAAGACUUUCAUUCUAUAAAUUUUUAAAAAAUCCAAAAAACCUUUUCUAUUUAUCCAUUUUAAUUUAAUCAUUAAAUAGAAACAAACCUUUUUGAAUUUUGUCCAUUUUAUUGAAAUAAUUUAUAAAAUUUAAAGGAGAAACUAAUUAGAAAAAAAAAAUUAGUUCUAUAUUGCAACUUAUAAAAGAGGAGUUCCAACUCUUUCAAGCAGUGUUUCCAUUAGGCAAAGCAAGAGUUUAUUGUAAAAAAAAGAGCAACGAUACUACUAAACGAAGUAUAUUUUAAUGAAGACUCUAAGGUUCCUAAAUUUUAUGGACUUUCCCAAUCUCGACGAUUCGCGAGAUAAUAGCUAUUAUUCUUUUAAGUU
rnacentral:rRNA from 1 species